CACACACACACACGCUCCAUCUGACACCAGAGGCCUAUACUACGAAGCAGGAUGUUCUCUUAGCGGCUAACUUCAGGUUAACUCUGGGUUUCCGGUCCUAAGAAGCUGGUUCUCUUUUUAGCAGGCUAGAUCUCCAUGGUAACUGAUGCUGA